rnacentral:rRNA from 1 species
UUAAACUGGAGAGUUUGAUCCUGGCUCAGAACUAACGCUGGCGGCGUGCCUAACACAUGCAAGUCGAACGAGAAAGUUGGCUUCGGCCGAUGAGUAAAGUGGCGCACGGGUGAGUAACGCGUGGAUAAUCUGCCCUUUAGUUUGGAAUAACGUACCGAAAGGUGCGCUAAUACCGGAUAAUACUGAAUGACUACUGUCGUUUAGUCAAAGAAGGCUUCUGUUUACAUGCUUUUGCUGAAGGAUGAGUCCGCGUACCAUUAGCUAGUUGGUGGGGUAAUGGCCUACCAAGGUUAUGAUGGUUAGCUGGUCUGAGAGGAUGAUCAGCCACACUGGAACUGAAACACGGUCCAGACUCCUACGGGAGGCAGCAGUGAGGAAUAUUGCGCAAUGGGGGCAACCCUGACGCAGCAACGCCGCGUGAGU